GUCCACGCCGUAAACUAUGGAUACUAGGUGUUUGGGAAGUUAACAUCCUGAGUACUAAAGCUAACGCAUUAAGUAUCCCACCUGGGGAGUACGGUCGCAAGGCUAAAACUCAAAGGAAUUGACGGGGGCCCGCACAAGCGGUGGAGUAUGUGGUUUAAUUCGACGCAACGCGCAGAACCUUACCUACCCUUAACAUCCCAGGACGAUUGCAGAGAUGUAAUCUUCUCUUCGGAGACCUGGUGAUAGGUGCUGCAUGGCUGUCGU
rnacentral:rRNA from 1 species